UUACAGCCAUAUCACGUUGAAACACCGGUACCCGUAAGAUCACCGAAGUUAAGCAACGUCGAGUCUGGUCAUUACCUAGAUAGGUGACCACUUGGGAAUACUAGGUACUA